CCUACGGGAGGCAGCAGUGAGGAAUAUUGGUCAAUGGGCUUACGCCUGAACCAGCCAAGUCGCGUGAGGGAAGACUGCCCUAUGGGUUGUAAACCUCUUUUGUCAGGGAGCAACGCCGGCUACGUGUAGCCGGACUGAGAGUACCUGAAGAAAAAGCAUCGGCUAACUCCGUGCCAGCAGCCGCGGUAAUACGGAGGAUGCGAGCGUUAUCCGGAGUUAUUGGGUUUAAAGGGUGCGUAGGCGGAAUGCCAAGUCAGCGGUAAAAUCGCGGGGCUCAAACGCGCUACGCCGUUGAUACUGGCGUUCUUGAGUGGGCGAGAAGUAUGCGGAAUGCGUGGUGUAGCGGUGAAAUGCAUAGAUAUCAUGCAGAACUCCGAUUGCGAAGGCAGCAUACCGGCGCCCAACUGACGCUGAAGCACGAAAGCGUGGGUAUCGAACAGGAUUAGAUACCCGAGUAGUC
rnacentral:rRNA from 1 species